AAACUUUCAACAACGGAUCUCUUGGUUCUGGCAUCGAUGAAGAACGUAGCGAAAUGCGAUAAGUAAUGUGAAUUGCAGAAUUCAGUGAAUCAUCGAAUCUUUGAACGCACAUUGCGCCCGCCAGUAUUCUGGCGGGCAUGCCUGUCCGAGCGUC
rnacentral:rRNA from 1 species